UUUUAAUUAUGUCAAUCUAUUGGGAGUGUUAUAUAAAGCAACUGUUAUUGCCAGGCGUUCUCUAUAGCUACCGCGCUCUAUGUGACAAACUGCAUAGUUUUGCAGUUUGAUCAAGUGCCCUAAGCAAUUGCAGUGAAUACCUGGCAAGUGAAAUGGUUUUCAGAGCACAUCUGUAUAUCGCAGCAAUGUUGAUGAUUCUGCUGAUCCACAAAGCAAAAAGUCUUCCAUAUCUGGACCCUGUGGACGAAUGCAUUCUUACAUGCGAUGCUUGCUACAAAGGGGAAUUUUUGCUAGACUGUGCAAACGACUGCAUCUUCCAAUCAGGCGACGUGGGUCAACCAUUUAAAAACCACUGCCCACAAUUUGAUAUGAAACUACCCAGUGUUCAAAUGGUUUAGCAAUGACGUCAAUAGAAAUAUUGUAAAAGAGCUGCUCAUUUAAUAUAGUAAAGCAAUGGAGUAAUUAAUUACGCAUGGCCCUUUUAAGUGUUUUAAAAAAUUUAGUGAUUAAUGGAUAUUUUAGAACCCAGUUAAUGAUGUACUGACUUUAAAUUUGGGUAAUCCGUUCUAACUGGUUAACGUUAAUAUUGUUAACGUGAUGACACGUUUAAUAACAAAUUCGUUGACCAGUUACCCUAUUACUACAACUUAUUUAUCGGCUUAUUGAAUUUCUUAUUAAUCGGCAAACAAAAGCUUUUAGUCAGUAUACAUCAAAAUUCGGCCAAGCAUUACGAUAUUAUGGCACAUCAAUAUCCCGUGCACAAAAUUUAAAUCACUUUUUUUCAUUUUUCGGCUUUGCAAAACAAAUGGAAGCUGAUAAUGAGAGUGGGGUCAAAAAUAAUAUUGUCACUGAUUUAUAAUAUUAAAAACCCAUAAAAUUAAUAUUCACUUUACAGCUCCCCAUCUAUCUGAAUCAAAUAGUCCAGUAGAGCUAUAAACUCGACUCUACUCUUACAAUCGUACAAUACAUUCAAGUACUAAUUUUACACCCUGUGGAUAAAUAUUAGAUCUUAUAAAGUCUUGAGAUCCUAUGCAAGUUUAUUCUGAUUACAUAUGUAUUCAUAAGUUAAAUGCGAACACAUUGUACAUUGUAAAUCCACAAACAAUAUUUAAAGAGAAAGAAAAUAUGAACAAAAUCAAUACGAAGAUUGGUCACAUGUUUACAAAAAGCCUGACAAAAUAGUAGGAAAAAUACAACGUUUGCAUUUAGGCCCUUUUCUUCUAAUCAGAGUAUUGGAAAACAAUAAAAUUUAAAUAAAAAACC
rnacentral:lncRNA from 1 species